AAACGUUAUCUGGGGUGCCUUUUGGCUGAGAUACACACCCAUUGAACCUGAUCUGGUUAAUGCCAGCGAAGGGAGCAUAAUGCAUUUAUUUU
rnacentral:ncRNA from 2 species